rnacentral:rRNA from 1 species
UACGUAGGGGGCAAGCGUUGUCCGGAAUCAUUGGGCGUAAAGCGCGUGUAGGCGGUCCGGUAAGUCCGCUGUGAAAGUCGGGGGCUCAACCCUGGGAUGCCGGUGGAUACUGUCGGGCUCGAGUCCGGAAGAGGAGUGUGGAAUUCCUGGUGUAGCGGUGAAAUGCGCAGAUAUCAGGAGGAACACCAAUGGCGAAGGCAGCACUCUGGGACGUGACUGACGCUGAGACGCGAAAGCGUGGGGAGCAAACAGG